GCAAAAGAUUUUUAUAAUUUAUUUUUAAUUUUUGCCUUCUUUUUGCUUUCCUUUCGUCGACAAAAUAAACCAACAACAAAACUCGGUCAAAAUUCUCUGUCGGCGGCGAUCAUCAUUUAUUCAUUCUCCUUCCUUCUCUAUUUUCACUUGAGUUUAUUUUCAUUUGAAUUUCCUCGGUGCCUGAUCGGCGUUGAUUUGCGGCAGAGUGGUCGUUGUCGACGCGUAAUUACGACUUUUAGUUGCAGCGCAGCCGCCUCGCUCGCAUCGCGAUACGAACAUUAGCCAAAAUCUUCCUCCUACUCGUCGGCGGAGAAGGCCAAUUAUGUAAACUUUUCGACGCGUCCCGUCCGAGAGCCGUUCGUCGCGAGCCCGUCCGUUCGUCGCGUGGAAAACGAAAGAAAAGCAAAG